rnacentral:tRNA from 1 species
UCCCACAUGGCUGAGAUGGUAAAGAAUCUGUCUGCAGUGCAGGAGACCCAGGUUCCAUCCCUGGGUUGGGAA